rnacentral:misc_RNA from 1 species
GAUGAAGAACGUAGCGAAAUGCGAUAAGUAAUGUGAAUUGCAGAAUUCAGUGAAUCAUCGAGUCUUUGAACGCACAUUGCGCCCCCUGGUAUUCCGGGGGGCAUGCCUGUCCGAGCGUCAUUGCCGCCCUCAAGCACGGCUUGUGUGUUGGGCCCCCGCCCCCCGGCUUCGGGGGGCGGGCCCGAAAGGCAGCGGCGGCACCGCGUCCGGUCCUCGAGCGUAUGGGGCUUCGUCACACGCUCUGUAGGCCCGGCCGGCGCCCGCCGGCGACCCCAAUCAAUCUUUCCAGGUUGACCUCGGAUCAGGUAGGGAUACCCGCUGAACUUAAGCAUAUCAAUAAGCGGAGGA